GUGCUCACUUCAACAGCAUAUAUACUAAAACUGAAAUGAUGCAGAGAAGAUUCGCAUGGCCCUGUGCUAGGAUGACAAAUAUGGAACAUUUCAUAUGUGU
rnacentral:snRNA from 1 species